UGUAUGGCAUUCAUGUAAGCGUAUUCAUGUAAGCGUAUCUAUAUAAGCGUAUUCAUGUAAGCAUAUUCAUGUAAGCGUAUCUAUGUAAGCGUAUUCAUGUAAGCAUAUUCAUGUAAGCGUAUCUAUGUAAGCGUACUCAUGUAUCAUGUAAUGUAUUGGUAUAGACUCAUGAAUGAACUGACUCUUGUGUGAUUUCUCGUAAGAGGAAUGAUGUUAUGUAUCUUCUAACUAUCCCUAUAAUAGUUAACUGGAAGGUAAUUGGUUGUUCAAGUAGGUUUAUACACCCUUGUUACACAAGAGUGUGGGAAACUGAAUGAAGGAUGAAAACUAUAACAUCAAUACAUAUAUAAGAACAUAAGUGUAUAAGUAUAGUUUUGUUCAAGAAGGUAAAAAUGGUUUUGUAAGAUAUCUAAGAGUUUUGAACAAUAAUUAACAAUGACUUGAUGUCAUUUUAAUAAACAUUUCAAAACUAAUACUUUUGUUAUCAAGGUAUUUUAAGAUAGAAAACCAUUUCAUGUGUCACCUUUUGAAAUAUGUGAAAUCUACUGAUUGAAAACACAGUUAUAAAAUACAUAAGAUUGAUUUAAUAACAUACUAUUUUCUACUUGUAUUCCCCCCCCCCCAACAUUAAAGCAUUUAAAAUCAUUUAAAACAUUGAUUAAGGGGUAUGAACUCACUUGUAGAUGGUCGUUUGGAUGAACUGGAUGAUGUAGGAUUGCCAGGUGACAAGUGAUGACUUGUUCACACUCAAAGAUCCUAGUUAACAUAUAAUCACACAUAUAUGUAUUCAAUUAGACUUUAAACCACUAAUUGACAAAGUUAAGACAUCCUAAGGCAUGUAAAAUGUCACACCACAAAACCACGAAUGGCGGAAACGUUCAGGGGUGGAGGACGUCAUGUACAGUAUCACAACAAUGUAAUAUAAUAAACAAGCAACAACAUCAUCCAUUGCAUUAUAAGUAAAGUUUUAAUACAUGUGUGUUCUUUCAUUGUGGUAAGACACCAAAAAUAUACAAUCAAAAUAAAAUAUGAGACUUGUCCGCUCCGUCUUCUCAAAACCUGGCCAUCGUACCUAUCUACUGCUGACCUGAGAAUACAAGUUAUUUUGAAAGCGAGUAUCAGCUUUAAAGCUGGUGAAUUCAUAAGAAAUUAAGUGUCGUUGUCUUGCUUAUGAAAAUCUGCUAUGAAGGCCAUGUAAACCUUUACAUGAAAAUGUUGAGGUAAGUAUGAAAUCCCUAGAAAAACCCUUAUUUUCUAUAAGUAUGAAAUGUAGUCUCCUACCAAGACCCGAAUGUUUUGUUAUAACAAUGUAGUCUUCUACAAAGACCCGAAUGUUUUGUAAGUAAAAUGAUAAUUUUCCUUUGGUUUUUUAGUACUAAAGUACUUAGUCUAACUCAUCGUUUAUGUGAAGGUAUCACAACAUAAAUCAAAGACCCGAAUGUUUUGUAAGUAAAAUGAUAAUUUUCCUUUGGUUUUUUAGUACUAAAGUACUUAGUCUAACUCAUCGUUUAUGUGAAGGUAUCACAACAUAAAUUAAACAGGAAAAAUCACUUAUGUACGUGUUAUCCCGAGGUACUGAGGUUAACACGACGAAUGUAAAUGUUAUCCCGAGGUACUAGGGCUAACAUAAUACAUAUAACCUAAUGAACAUCCGAAGAUUGUCCACUUGUCCUCUGUAGCAGCAGCAGGGCGGAGGAAUGGUUAGUCCCUGUAAAGGUACUCCUAGUAUAAGUAAUAACCGUAGGCAUCCGUAGAUGUUCAUCACCCACUGUUGCUAACAGAUGAGUUCCGGAAUGGUUAGUCCCGUACGUAUAUCCCGAGGUACUGUGGGAUAGAGGCCCAUCUAGGUAUCCCGAGGUACUAGGGAUAGGGUCCUGUCUAGAUAUCCCGAGGUACUAGGGAUAUGCAGGAAGAUUUACACAGAAGGUACUAAUAAAUCAUCCUCGCAAUUCGAGAUACAAGUAUUCAUGUUAAUGUACACAGUUAAGUGUAUCUACGUAAAGGCACUCAUGUAAUGCGUUCAUGUAAGCGUGUUCAUGUAUCAUGUAAGUAUAUGUAAACGUACUCAUGUAUCAUGUAAUCAAUUGUAAAGGUACUCAUGUAUCAGGUAAUGUACUGGUAUAGACUCAUGAAUGAACUGACUCUUGUGUGAUUCCUUGUAAUAGGAAUUAUGUUUGAAAUCUCCAAAUUAUCCCUAUGAUAAUUUACUGGAAGGUAAUUGGUUGUUCA
rnacentral:lncRNA from 1 species